rnacentral:rRNA from 1 species
UACAGAGGUCUCAACCGUUGUUCGGAUUCAUUGGGCGUAAAGGGUGCGUAGGCGGUCGGGUAAGUCGGAUGUGAAAUCUCAGGGCUCAACCCUGAAACUGCAUUCGAUACUGCCUGGCUAGGGUACUGGAGAGGAGACUGGAAUUUACGGUGUAGCAGUGAAAUGCGUAGAUAUGGUAAGGAAGACCAGUGGCGAAGGCGAGUCUCUGGACAGUUACCGACGCUGAGGCACGAAGGUCAGGGGAGCAAACGGG